rnacentral:rRNA from 1 species
CCGAACCGACUAAUGUUGAAAAAUUAGCGGAUGACCUGUGGCUGGGGGUGAAAGGCCAAUCAAACCGGGAGAUAGCUGGUUCUCCCCGAAAGCUAUUUAGGUAGCGCCUCGUGAAUUCAUCUCCGGGGGUAGAGCACUGUUUCGGCUAGGGGGCCAUCCCGGCUUACCAACCCGAUGCAAACUGCGAAUACCGGAGAAUGUUAUCACGGGAGACACACGGCGGGUGCUAACGUCCGUCGUGAAGAGGGAAACAACCCAGACCGCCAGCUAAGGUCCCAAAGUCAUGGUUAAGUGGGAAACGAUGUGGGAAGGCCCAGACAGCCAGGAUGUUGGCUUAGAAGCAGCCAUCAUUUAAAGAAAGCGUAAUAGCUCACUGGUCGAGUCGGCCUGCGCGGAAGAUGUAACGGGGCUAAACCAUGCACCGAAGCUGCGGCAGCGACACUGUGUGUUGUUGGGUAGGGGAGCGUUCUGUAAGCCUGUGAAGGUGUGUCGUGAGGCAUGCUGGAGGUAUCAGAAGUGCGAAUGCUGACAUA